rnacentral:rRNA from 1 species
AGCCGCGGUAAUACGGAGGAUCCGAGCGUUAUCCGGAUUUAUUGGGUUUAAAGGGAGCGUAGAUGGAUGUUUAAGUCAGUUGUGAAAGUUUGCGGCUCAACCGUAAAAUUGCAGUUGAUACUGGAUAUCUUGAGUGCAGUUGAGGCAGGCGGAAUUCGUGGUGUAGCGGUGAAAUGCUUAGAUAUCACGAAGAACUCCGAUUGCGAAGGCAGCCUGCUAAGCUGCAACUGACAUUGAGGCUCGAAAGUGUGGGUAUCAAACAGGAUUAGAUACCCUGGUAGUCCACACGGUAAACGAUGAAUACUCGCUGUUUGCGAUAUACUGCAAGCGGCCAAGCGAAAGCGUUAAGUAUUCCACCUGGGGAGUACGCCGGCAACGGUGAAACUCAAAGGAAUUGACGGGGGCCCGCACAAGCGGAGGAACAUGUGGUUUAAUUCGAUGAUACGCGAGGAACCUUACCCGGGCUUAAAUUGCAGAUGAAUUACGGUGAAAGCCGUAAGCCGCAAGGCAUCUGUGAAGGUGCUGCAUGGUUGUCGUCAGCUCGUGCCGUGAGGUGUCGGCUUAAGUGCCAUAACGAGCGCAACCCUUGUUGUCAGUUACUAACAGGUUCCGCUGAGGACUCUGACAAGACUGCCAUCGUAAGAUGUGAGGAAGGUGGGGAUGACGUCAAAUCAGCACGGCCCUUACGUCCGGGGCUACACACGUGUUACAAUGGGGGGUACAGAGGGCCGCUACCACGCGAGUGGAUGCCAAUCCCCAAAACCUCUCUCAGUUCGGACUGGAGUCUGCAACCCGACUCCACGAAGCUGGAUUCGCUAGUAAUCGCGCAUCAGCCACGGCGCGGUGAAUACGUUCCC